UACGUAGGCACCAAGCGUUGUUCGGAAUUACUGGGCGUAAAGGGCGCGUAGGCGGUUUGCUAAGUCGGAUGUGAAAACUCUGGGCUCAACCCAGAGCCUGCAUCCGAAACUGGCAGGCUAGAGUUCUGGAGAGGGUAGCGGAAUUCCUGGUGUAGCGGUGAAAUGCGUAGAUAUCUGGAGGAACACCGGUGGCGAAGGCGGCAUCCUGGACCAACACUGACACUGAGGAGCGAAAGCCAGGGGAGCAAACGGG
rnacentral:rRNA from 1 species